AGCUCGUGUCGUGAGAUGUUGGGUUAAGUCCCGCAACGAGCGCAACCCACGUAUUUAGUUGCUAACGGUUCGGCCGAGCACUCUAAAUAGACUGCCUUCGUAAGGAGGAGGAAGGUGUGGACGACGUCAAGUCAUCAUGGCCCUUAUGCCCAGGGCGACACACGUGCUACAAUGGCAUAUACAAUGAGACGCAAUACCGCGAGGUGGAGCAAAUCUAUAAAAUAUGUCCCAGUUCGGAUUGUUCUCUGCAACUCGAGAGCAUGAAGCCGGAAUCGCUAGUAAUCGUAGAUCAGCCAUGCUACGGUGAAUACGUUCCCGGGUCUUGUACUCACCGCCCGUCACACCAUGGGAGUUGAUUUCACUCGAAGCCGGAAUACUAAACUAGUUACCGUCCACAGUGGAAUCAGCGACUGGGGUGAAGUCGUAACAAGGUAACCGUAGGAGAACCUGCGGUUGGAUCACCUCCUUUCUAG
rnacentral:rRNA from 2 species